AAGGAUCAUUGUCGAUGCCCCGACCCAGAGAGACCCGCGAACGCGUUCUACUGCCCCGGGGACAGGCGGAGCCGCUCGGCAGCCCGCCUCCCCCAAAUGCCGGGACCGAGCCACGCCCCGUGUGUGUGUGGCCCCGUCGCGGCGCAACAACAACAAACCCCGGCGCGGAAUGCGCCAAGGAAGCAACAAUCACAGAGCGCGCCCCGUCGGCCCGGAAACGGUGCCCGCACGGGCGGCGGCGCAACACUCGAGUCAAAACGACUCUCGGCAACGGAUAUCUCGGCUCUUGCAUCGAUGAAGAACGCAGCGAAAUGCGAUACUUGGUGUGAAUUGCAGAAUCCCGUGAACCAUCGAGUCUUUGAACGCAAGUUGCGCCCGAAGCCAUUAGGCCAAGGGCACGCCUGCCUGGGUGUCACUAAUCGUUGCCCCAACCCCCGUGCCAGUGGGGAGCGGGGCGAAUGCUGGCUUCCCGUGAGCACCGCCUCGCGGCUGGCUGAAAAUCGGGCUCGUGGUGGAUGCAGCACCAUGACAGACGGUGGCUGAGCACGCUCUCGAGGCCAGUCAUGCGUGCGGCCUCCACCGGCCCAGCGACCCGCGAGCGCGACGUCGAUCGCCCAUGACGCGACCUCAGGUCAGGC
rnacentral:misc_RNA from 1 species